CACGUAGGGGACGAGCGUUGUCCGGAUUCAUUGGGCGUAAAGCGCGCGUAGGCGGCUCGGAAAGUCGGGCGUGAAAUCUCGGGGCUCAACUCCGAGCUUGCAUUCGAUACGGGCAGGCUAGAGUUCGGUAGGGGAGACUGGAAUUCCUGGUGUAGCGGUGAAAUGCGCAGAUAUCAGGAGGAACACCGGUGGCGAAGGCGGGUCUCUGGGCCGAUACUGACGCUGAGGAGCGAAAGCGUGGGGAGCGAACAGG
rnacentral:rRNA from 1 species